rnacentral:rRNA from 1 species
UAUCCGCCAGAGAACUACAAGUGAAAAACUUGAAACUCAAAGGACUUGACGGUGUCCCACAUCAACCUAGAGGAGCCUGUCCUAUAAUCGAUACCCCCCGCUCUACCCUACCUUGACUAGCAAAACUCAGCCUAUAUACCGCCGUCGACAGCCUACCCUAUGAAGGUCUAACAGUAGACACAAUAGCCACACCACUAGUACGUCAGGUCAAGGUGUAGCAAAUGUUAAGGAAGUGAUUGGCUACAUUUUUUAAUUUUUAAAAAACACGGAAUGCACCAUGAAAUCGUUCAUGAAGGUGAAUUUAGUAGUAAAGCAGAUAAGAGUGUCUACUUUAACAAUGCUCUGGGACGCGUACACACCGCCC